GUGCACACUCUGUUUGUGCAUCCACUCACACCUGUGCACCUUCUGUAGUUCUGUGGCCUGGGGGACUCGUCCUCCUGCUGUGGUUCUGCAUCUUUACACUCACGCUGUGAUAAAGUCUAAUGGAAUGCAUGCCGCGUUUAACGCAAUACAAUACAACUUUCAGCAACGGAUCUCUUGGCUCUCGCAUCGAUGAAGAACGCAGCGAAAUGCGAUAAGUAAUGUGAAUUGCAGAAUUCAGUGAAUCAUCGAAUCUUUGAACGCACCUUGCGCCCUUUGGCUAUUCCGAAGGGCAUGCCUGUUUGAGUAUCAUGAACAUCUCAACUCCUCACGGUUUGCCCGUGAUGAGCUUGGACUUUGGGGGUCUUGCCGGCCUGCAGGUUGGCUCCUCUCAAAUGAAUCAGCUUGCCGGUGUUUGGUGGCGUCAAGGUGUGAUAACUAUCUACGC
rnacentral:rRNA from 1 species